ensembl:lncRNA
GAAAACACUCGUGAGCAUGAUGGAGGACGUGUAAAGCAUAAGGUCCAAGGAGGAUCGCUCUAGGAAGUAAGGUUGAGUAGGGAGAGAGCUCUAGGAGGUAAGGUUGAGUAGGGAGAUUGCUCUAGGAAGUAAGAUUGAUUAGGGAGAGAGCUCUAGGAAGUAAGGUUGAUUAGGGAGAGAGCUCUAGGAAGUAUGGUUGAGUAGGAGAAAAGAUCUGGAAAGUAAGGUUGAGUAGAGAGAGGGCCUUAGGAGGCAAGGAUGGGUAGGGGGAGGGCUCUAGGAAGCAAGGAUGAGUAGGCGGGGGGCUCUAGGAAGUAAGGAUGAGUAGGCUGAGGGCUCUAGGAAGUAAGCUUGAGUAGGAAGAGAUUUCUAGGACGUAAGGUUGAG